rnacentral:rRNA from 1 species
AUGAAAGAUAUUAUUGCUCUGUACCAUCCCAUGGCUCUAAGGCUAUUCCUGAUGCGAACACACUACAUGUCCGAUGUCAAACACUACUCUGAAGAAGCUAUGUCCUUGUACCGUGAUGACAAGUUGGAUGUCCCAGCACUAGCAGGUGGUUGGAAGGUGGAUGACGACAACCAUGAGAGUUACCUUCACAUUUCGAACGAUCUUCCUACAGUAGUAUUGCACAAGGAGGCGAUGAGCAGCUCUUCCACUGCUGGCAUCCACCUUGCCCUCUGGUGGUGGCAGCAACAUAGUGAGGCCCCCUCGCAUCCCCACCCACCCGUGCCCCUUCCCCUCGCAUCUCUUCCUCCCGAGCCCCGACCCCAGGCUAGGGUUCCAUACGCCGCCGCCGGUGUCUCACCCCCUCACCACACACGCAUCUCUCCUUUCCAUCCCCACCUGAGGUCCUCAAUCGCCAUCUCGAGGUCCGAGAAGAGAGGGCCGCCGCACCGUCUUCCUCCUCCACCGACCUCCGAGGCGCCCUACUCGUGGGACGACGCCGCCGCCGCCUUGUGGAACCCCAGGGCAGGGCAGGGCGUGGUCGAGUUGCGGGCAGGGAAGAGCGGCGCCGACGCCGUGCGUAGCCAGUUCGUGCGAGGACAAGGACUGCCGCCGCCCGGGCCGCGGUGACCACGGACGUGGAGCUGCUGAAGCGGUUCCUCAAAAUCAUGUCUAUUAGUGUUUCUUCUCUCUCUCUCUCUCUAUAUAUAUAUAUAUAUGCAUGAUCUUUCCUUUUAUAAUUCUAUGCAUGAUUUUUGCUACUGCUGGCCUUGAAUUGCCACUGAUUUGGGCCACCUUGUUUAUGAUUCGUGCACGCAUGUGUUUCGUUGGUCUUUUGCGGCAUGUGGGGAGCGUAAACUGGAACGUGUGCAGCAGGCAUCGCUGCUGCGCUGGACGACGUUGUGCGAGGCCAUGGCCAUGGAUGAUGUGCUGUUGGAGAACGGCGCAGGGCUAAGGUAGUCGAUGUGAGCGACCACUGGGGAGUGCCUAUAAUAUGUGGCUCUAGAGGUGCUGAAGCGGCGAACUGAGCUGAGGCCAGCAUAAGGAGUGACAGAGUUAUCCUCAACUUUUAUUUGUUCAUGUUGUCUCCACAAACUGACUUGUGUAUGUGUUCAUGGAUCAGAGACAGCGUGCGCUACCACGAGCACGAGGACAUCUGGGUGCGACAGUCAGAGAGCUCGUCGAGAGGCUCGGUAGGAUGGAGGGUGUCCCGCUAGCUACCCGCGUCGUUGCCAACGGUGCCAUGGGAUUUGUGGUGCACAUGGUCAAGGAGAUGUGCGGAUUCUUGGGCAAUCUCAGCUUCGAUCAACAUGUCAAUACAGGAUACGUGCUAUUCAAAGAGUGACAUAAAUUCAGAGUUCUUCCAUUGAAAUCUAGAGGAUCGGGUGCAUUUUUGUUCAGGUCUGAAAUGAGAAGAAAUAAUCAAUUGCUUUUUCUCUGAAGUUUCCCAAUGUAAAUCCUUUGUUUUUGAGAAAGAAUCAAAGCAUGCCAGCUGAUGAAGGAACGGAGGAAGCUAUUAUGCUUGGUUGUGGAAGAGUGUAUCCAACAGGAUCCACCUGACUAUGGCCAAUUGGUGCUUGCACAACAUCAGGGAAUGAUUUUUGGAGACCUGCGUAGUGGUUGGAGAUGCAUAACUACAUGUCUUUCUACUUUGGGCUCGGGCUUGAACCUCUCAUUGUGUAAAUCGAUGUGUGACUAUGGGAUCGUUAUAUCGUGUCUCCUCGUACUGCAGUAUGCUACAUAGAAUAGUUAGAAAUUGGGCUAUACUAUAUACAGGAUUGUAUUAGCAUUUUGAAUCUAAGCUAAUUGUUCUCGCCUUCUGAUUUAUUCACACCAUGUUUCAAGAGAUAGUGUACAACUCCAUAGAUGGCAGCAGGCUGAUCAUGAGUGGGGGUGGAGCUGAAGAUGUACCAUAGUAGGUCGUCACCGCACUCCAAUUCUGCAAACCGACAGUUUUCAUGGAGAGCGAGGCGG